GCCGAGGUCCUCUUCCAGGAUUGGCUACCUCCUCAUAACCAUAAGAUAAUUAAAACUUGGCGGGGGGGGGGGGCAGGGUUAAAAAAACUUUUUUUAUCAGUCAGAGGAUAAUGCAAGUGUUUAACAGAUGCUUCACUAUUAAAAUAUUUUCCCCCCAAGUCUCAAAUAUUGAAGAAUCUCUAACCAGGCUCGAAACGCCGGUCUCAGUGGCUAUUGAGUUACCCACCAAGUUACCCCGGUUAGAGCUGUUUGGGGUGGCUCACGUUAUUGCGGCAAACUUUGGAGAUGACGGCUGAGUCCUCCGGGCGAACAUGUCAAGCCGAUUGUAAAUGCUGUUAUUUCCACAUCCUUCAGGGACACCAGUCCCUACGAAGACCUUGGGCGAUUUUGAAGUGCGGGCACCUCGAUUCCCCGAAUCUGUAGUGUGGCUGGUAUCGGUGUUCCCCUGGUUUAACUAGCCUGUUUGAAGGCACAGAUCAUUCAUGGGGAUGUAUAACCGAAACCAGUCCUCUCCACCGCCUGGGGAUCUUCACUUUCGCAGUCUACGACUGCCUGUGACUCCAGAAAGACAAACUGCAGAUUGGCCAAGCUGCCUGAAGACCCAGCCCGACAGCGAUGCCUGUCAGCCCGCGUCGCCCACCAGGGCAGCUGCUCUCCCAACUCGCAUGGGGGGCACCACCCCGCCUCGGUGCCCUAGAGCUGAGCGCAGCCGCGGCUCCACGGGGAUCGCCAGGGCCUCAGCCCUCGCGGCCGGCGGCGCGGGAGUGUUGCGGGGCAGGGACCAGAGCGCGAUCAGAGCGGCCACCCCCGAUUUAGGUCGCCAGCUUUCCAGUCACUGCGAUGGCCACUGGGGCGCCCCUUCCAUCCUGGUUAAAUUCUCAUUGUGAUCCCCAGCCCUCUUCUCGGUUCCCCACACCCAGGAGGCCGGUUCUCCGCCGCUCAGGCUGGGAGAGGUCACCGCUCCGGGCAGGGUGGACCCCCAGCUCCGUCUCGGAGGACCUUUCGCCGGAGGCGAGCAGGAAGGGGUUAACCAUGAGCCUCCCACCCUCACCUCCCAGACCCUGGUGCCGGGCUAAGGCCUCCGCUUCCCUCCUGAGGUCUCAUUAGGAAACCCUCACCGCUAUUUUCAACAUUUCCUCAAUCAAGUGCCUUUAAAUAGAGCUGCACAAACAGAUUGGCGGCAAAAGCGUAGAUCUUGUCACGAUUGAGACCAAUCCAGUAUUUCAGCCUUGUUUGCUUUGCAAUUACGGGUUGGCUUGUGGCUACGGUGCCACCGGGGCAAAUCUGCAGCCGCUCGCUUUCUCCUCUGCGCUCCGGGCGGGUGGAGGAAGCGACCCGCGGAGUCACUGCAGGGAGGAGAGGGGGACGCGCGCGGGGGGAGGCGGCGGAGGGCGGAGGAGACUCGCUUGCACCCCAGGGCCGCGGGCACGCAGAGCUGUGUUGAAGGACAUACUUUUCAGGUUCCUGACAGUCACUGAGCUAUACGCAAUAAUAAAGUGCGUGAUUCGCGUGUGGAAACCAGUGUCGUGUCCUUACCAGCUUCCUUUUCUGUCCACCUUCCCUCUCUCUUCUACCUCCGUUUCGCUUUUCUUCAGUGCAUGUUAGCGGUUUGCUGGAUUUCCCUUCUCCCUCGCUGUUCAACUGCUAGCAUGAUUUGUUACAUUUUCCACAGCUGUUUAUUCUUGUUUGACUUUUUGUACAAAGUCACUUUAAAUCUGCUGCAGAAAGAAUAAAGCACCUAGCCCUUUGGAUGGACUCCUGCAGGCGUGUGGCUGUCCCUGGCCCACUUUUAAUUCUUUGGAGAUGGCUCUUCUGUGUAAAUCAGCUGCUGGGUGCGUUCGGUCACCUCGUAGGCCAGCCUAGUUUGUAUCAGCAGAACAGUAGUGGACUCGACUCAGGUCGUAAGCCUUAUAUUUCACAGACAAUUAAAUCUUGGCUGCUGUUGAACAAAACUGUAAUAUUUACUUUGUUCUAUACCGAGAAGCACUUUUAAAGUAAAAAAGAAAAAAAAA
ensembl:lncRNA HAND2-AS1 HAND2 antisense RNA 1